AGCGAACGUUAGCGGCGCGCCUAACACAUGCAAGUCGCACGAGAGGGGGCAACCCCGAAAGUGGCGCACGGGUGCGUAACACGUAGAUAAUCUGCCCUUUGGAGGGGGAUAACGUUCCGAAAGGAGCGCUAAUACCGCGUAAAGCCGAGCUUGGUUUGCCGAGCUCGGGCAAAGACUGGGACCGUAAGGCCAGUCGCCGAAGGAGGAGUCGGCGGCCCAUCAGCUAGGUGGUAAGGUAAUGGCUUACCAAGGCAGAGACGGGUAGCUGGUUGGAGAGGAUGAUCAGCCAGGAUGGUACUAGAACACGGACCAGACUCCUACGGGAGGCAGCAGUGGGAAAUCUUGGUCAAUGGGCGAAAGCCUGAACCAGCGACGGCGCGUGAGUGAUGAAGGCCUUCGGGUUGUAAAGCUCUGUGGGGAGGGACGAAAGACUGAGGUCUAAUAGGCUUCAGGUUGACGGUACCUCCUUAGCAAGCACCGGCUAACUCUGUGCCAGCCGCCGCAGUAAAAC
rnacentral:rRNA from 1 species